GGUCUGAGAGAAUGAUCAGUCACACUGGAAUCGAGACUCGGUCCAGACUCCUACGGGAGGCAGCAGUGGGGAAUAUUGGACAAUGGGCGAAAGCCUGAUCCAGCCAUGCCGCGUGUUUGAAGAAGGUCUUUGGAUUGUAAAGCACUUUAAGUUGGGAGGAAGGGCAGUAAGUUAAUACCUUGCUUUUGACGUUACCAACAGAAUAAGCACCGGCUAACUUCGUGUCAGCAGCCGCGGUAAUACGAAGGGUGCAAGCGUUAAUCGGAAUUACUGGGAGUAAAGCGCGCGUAGGUGGUUCAGCAAGUUGGAUGUGAAAUCCCCGGGCUCAACCUGGGAACUGCAUCCAAAACUACU
rnacentral:rRNA from 1 species